rnacentral:rRNA from 1 species
GAGUUUGAUCGUGGCUCAGGACGAACGCUGGCGGCGUGCUUAACACAUGCAAGUCGAGCGGAAAGGCCCUUCGGGGUACUCGAGCGGCGAACGGGUGAGUAACACGUGAGUAACCUGCCCUGGACUUUGGGAUAACCCUCGGAAACGGGGGCUAAUACCGGAUACGACUGCCGGCCGCAUGGUUGGUGGUGGAAAGUUUUUCGGUCUGGGAUGGGCUCGCGGCCUAUCAGCUUGUUGGUGGGGUGAUGGCCUACCAAGGCGACGACGGGUAGCCGGCCUGAGGGGGCGACCGGCCACACUGGGACUGAGACACGGCCCAGACUCCUACGGGAGGCAGCAGUGGGGAAUAUUGCACAAUGGGCGGAAGCCUGAUGCAGCGACGCCGCGUGUGGGAUGACGGCCUUC